rnacentral:rRNA from 1 species
AUUGAACGCUGGCGGCAUGCUUUACACAUGCAAGUCGAACGGUAACAGGCCGCAAGGUGCUGACGAGUGGCGAACGGGUGAGUAAUGCAUCGGAACGUGCCCAGUCGUGGGGGAUAACGCAGCGAAAGCUGUGCUAAUACCGCAUACGAUCUAUGGAUGAAAGCGGGGGACCGUAAGGCCUCGCGCGAUUGGAGCGGCCGAUGUCCGAUUAGCUAGUUGGUGGGGUAAAGGCCCACCAAGGCGACGAUCUGUAGCUGGUCUGAGAGGACGACCAGCCAAACUGGGACUGAGACACGGCCCAGAAUCGUACGGGGGUCAGCAGUGGGGAAUUUUGGACAAUGGGCGCAAGCCUGAUCCAGCAAUGCCGCGUGCAGGAAGAAGGCCUUCGGGUUGUAAACUGCUUUUGUACGGAACGAAACGGCCUGGGUUAAUACCCUGGGCUAAUGACGGUACCGUAAGAAUAAGCACCGGCUAACUACGUGCCAGCCGCCGCCGUAA